rnacentral:sRNA from 1 species
AGUCAUGCUACAGCCAAUGCCCUUUUGCAGCUGAGACUUACAGGAAAGAGAUCUCAUUCAGUAGGAGUACUGAGACCUGAGGCUGGUGGUGCCAGGAGGAGGCAGGGAUAGGGAGGGCUUUGCAGCAGCUGUAGAUAGGCCUGGAAGAAUGGGUAAAUUCAGACAGAUUUGUGAAGGCACAGUUCACCAUCUGUGAAAGGGGGAGAUGAUCAAUCGGAUUGAGAAGAACAUCCUGAGCUCAGCGGACUACGUGGAACGUGGGCAGGAGCACGUCAAGACGGCCCUGGAGAACCAGAAGAAGGCGAGGAAGGUGAGCCUCCCAGGCCCGGCCACUGCCCCAGGCACCCUGUGUGACUUCCCUGACCCCCUCCUCUCCCACAGAAGAAAGUCUUGAUUGCCAUCUGUGUGUCCAUCACCGUCGUCCUCCUAGCAGUCAUCAUUGGCGUCACGGUGGUUGGAUAAUGUCGCACAUUGUUGUAGAGACGGGGUUUCAUCGUGUUAGCCAGGAUGGUCUCGAUCUCCUGACCUCGUGAUCCGCCCGCCUCAGCUUCCCAAAGUGCUGGGAUUACAGGCAUGAGCCACCGCGCCCGGCCCCCGACACCUAGUUUUAAAGGGCCCCUGCUGUUGCUGCCGCUGCCGCCGCUCCCAGCUGCCCAGUCUGGCGGGCUCAGUCCCGCGUUGCCAUGUGUGGGAGACCGCGUCCCGUAAGCGCUGGAUGUGGCUUCGCUGAUGCACAUUGGACCGGGCUCUGGACUGGGCUAGGGGAAGGGCAGGAGGGCGGAAUUGGGCCCGAGGGCCAGGCCUCGCCGACCCCCGACUGCGCCUCCCGGUGGCCCCGCAGCGCCUCCCGGUGGCCCUGGAGUGCAGGUCUUACCGUCCGAGAUCGCCCGCAACUGGGCGAGCUGUGCAUGGGGCGUGGCCAAGGCCGUGGUUUGGUUACGAUUGGCCAGCGGGACUUAAGUGUUGUCUCUGAAGAGCAUGGACAUUAGUCUGGAGGGUCCUGGAAGAGUGAUCCCCGCCCCACCAUCAAAUGGCGCUUAGGUCUAGGAAGCGGGUGUGGGUGGGGCCUUAGGGCGAGGCGCAGACACACCCCGAAGUGGUUGGAUUGUAUACCGCAAGGGGCUGGAUCGAACCCCCUAAAGACACUGGAAGGCUGUGUGGCUGAGGAGGGCCCGGCAGAUCCAGUGUGUCGUGGGCUUUACAGGAAAGAGCUCCACCUUCGCUGGAGUGUGCAGAUGCGAUCUAGGUGUGUCCACCCGAUGGGAGCUGCGGGCCGGGCAGAUGCUGCCCCAGUACAAAGCUGAUUUGGACCUGGGGCCUCUGGACUUCCCUGAUUCUCUGCUUGCAUCUCCAGCAAAGUCCUGUCCCGUUGGCUGCCUUCAUCCACUCUCUCGCCUCUCUGCCUUCAGAGUAAAAUUGCAAGAUCUGUGGUGCUUACUGGGAUCUGA